rnacentral:lncRNA from 1 species
AUGGUAGGACUCAAGCGAGUGCUGAGGGCAUUCUACGAAUAUUGUGAGAAAAAUCAGCUAAAGAUAAACUACAGUAAAACCAAAAUCAUGAUUUUCUCAAAAAAGCGAGCCAGACAUAACUGGUAUAUAGGAGAAAACUUAAUACAACAAGUUUCUUCCUUCAAAUACCUGGGGGUGACCUUUCAGGCCUCAGGCUCCUGGGGUUGUCAUCAAAAAAUGGCAAUACAAAAUGCUUUAUCCAGUAGUAAAGCUAUAAUACGCUUUUUCUACACAAAAGGUGGUCAAUAUAUCCCCGCUGCAAUAAAGGUUUUCCAAGCAAAGGUAACAGCCCAGCUACUUUACGCAAUUCCUGUUUGGAUCACAGGCUUCUCAUCUAAAGCUGAACAAGUUCAAUCAGGGUUCCUUAGAAAACUGUUCGCUGUCCCCAAUUGUGUUCCAUCUGCUGUUUUAAGACUUGAAUCAGGAACAGCCUCAUUGGAAUCAACAGCUUGGAGAAGGGCCCUAGGAUAUUGGAUUGAGAGGAUAUAUAAAGGACCUGAAGCAGGAUAUAUAUAUUUGAUUCAAAAAGACCUCUUCAAAUCCCACCAAAUCAAAGCAUUAAAUGAGAAGUUUAGGCAAUUGGGGCUUUCAGAGAAUAUACUGAGGGGUUUUGAGUAUAAAAAGACUGUGAAGAUCUUAGCAGAGCGAAUUAGUGACAUAGACAAACAAACCUCAAUGACUCAGGCGCGCUCCACAUGCUCCCCAUUGACUCUAGGCCUAACAUUUAAUUCUAUGGGAGGUGCUAAAUAUCUAGAAAACUUAAAUAUACCAAAGUUUCGCCUUGCUUUUAGCUGGGCCAGAUUCAAUGCACUCAAAUCAGCCAUACUAGAGGGCAGAUGCAAAGGCAUUAAAUACGAACACAGAGCAUGCCCUUGCGGGGAGGGAAAUGUCGAAACUGUUAUACAUGUACUUUUUAUUUGUACAAUUUACAAAGAUGAUAGAUUAAGGUUAAUAUCACCUCUACUCACUAAAUGGCCAGGAAGAACCCUAAAUUGGUACCGCAGUUAUUUACUGUCUGACUUUGACAAAAGGAUAACGGAGCAGGUGGCUAAAUUUCUCUUUUCAGCGGCAAAAAGCCGUUAG